rnacentral:rRNA from 1 species
UACAACGAAACUGCGAAUGGCUCGGUAAAACAGCAAUAAUUUAUUCGGGGGUAACUGCUACUUGGAUAACCGUAGUAAAGCUAGAGCUAAUACGUGCUACAAAGGCGAGACUUCGCGCUCGUGGUACUAAGUAUUAGGUACAAGCCAAUUUUAUUGGUGAUUCAUACUUAUUUUCUGAUCGCACUCUGUGCGACACCCCGAAUAAAUUUCUGACCUAUCAACUAUGAUGGUAAGGUAGUGUCUUACCAUGGUUGUGACGGGUAACGGACCGUGGGUGCGGGAUUCCGGAGAGGGAGCCUGAGAAACGGCUACCACAUCCAAGGAAGGCAGCAGGCGCGCAACUUACCCAAUCCGAACUUCGGGAGGUAGUGACAAAAAAUAUCAAUAGGGGGACCAAUGGUCUUCCUAAUUGGAAUGAAAACAAUCUAAACACCUUAUUGAGGAACCAGCAGAGGGCAAGUCUGGUGCCAGCAGCCGCGGUAAUUCCAGCUCUGUAAGCGUAUACCAAAGUUGUUGCAGUUAAAACGCUCGUAGUCGAACUUUGGCGUGAGAUUCCGAGACUCCUACUGGAUGUUGACGUAUCUCCGCCUUUGUGGAAGGGGAUGUUGUGGUACUUUAUUGUAUUGCUUCAUUUCCGCCACUUUUUACUGUGAAAAAAUUAGAGUGUUCAAAGCGAGCGUUUGCCAUGAAUACAUUAGCAUGGAAUAAUAGAAUAGGACCUGGUCUUGUUUUAUUGGUUUGUCUGUAUCAGGUAAUGAUUAACAGGGACGGUCGGGGGCAUUUGUAUUCCAGGGUUAGAGGUGAAAUUCUUGGAUCCUUGGAAGACAAACAGCUGCGAAAGCGUCUGCCAAGGACGUUUUCAUUGAUCAAGAACGAAAGUAAGGGGAUCGAAGACGAUCAGAUACCGUCGUAGUCUUUACUAUAAACUUUGAGGACUGGGGUUUGGACGUGGCCUAUUGGUACGUUCAGCACCCUCCGGGAAACCAAAGUGUUUGCUUUCUGGGGGGAGUAUGGUCGCAAGUCUGAAACUUAAAGGAAUUGACGGAAGGGCAUCACCGGGUGUGGAGCCUGCGGCUUAAUUUGACUCAACACGGGAAAACUUACCAGGUCCAGACAUAGUAAGGAUUGACAGAUUGAGAGCUCUUUCUUGAUUCUAUGGUUGGUG